GUCACCACCAUGCACCCUGAAUGAGCCCAAUCUCAUCUGAUCUCGGAAGCUAAGCAGGGUCUGGCCUGGUUAGUACUUGGAUGGCAGAUUGCAUAUCUUCUGAGACUCUCUUUCAGCACUAGCCAGACCAUGCUGAUU
rnacentral:rRNA from 1 species